GAUUUCUGGCGAACUGUAGCGGCCCGUGCUCGUAUCGGGCGUGUGUGCCGUGACAUGUUUGUCAUCCUUCCAGAGAGCUGCGUCUACCAUUCAUUUGGCCGGACGUACGCGAUCUGGAUCUAUUACUUUGAAAAAAUUAGAGUGUUUAAAGCAGGCUUAUGCUAUGAAUACAUUAGCAUGGAAUAAUCAUUUAGGACUUCGGUUCUAUUUUGUUGGUUUCGAGAGCUGAAGUAAUGAUUGAUAGGGAUAGUUGGGGGUGCUAGUAUUCAGAGGCCAGAGGUGAAAUUCUUGGAUUCUCUGAAGACUAACUUAUGCGAAAGCAUU
rnacentral:rRNA from 1 species